UGGAGCUGAAAUCAGUCGAAGAUACCAGCUGGCUGCAACUGUUUAUUAAAAACACAGCACUGUGCAAACACGAAAGUGGACGUAUACGGUGUGACGCCUGCCCGGUGCCGGAAGGUUAAUUGAUGGGGUUAUCCUCGCGGAGAAGCUCUUGAUCGAAGCCCCGGUAAACGGCGGCCGUAACUAUAACGGUCCUAAGGUAGCGAAAUUCCUUGUCGGGUAAGUUCCGACCUGCACGAAUGGCGUAAUGAUGGCCAGGCUGUCUCCACCCGAGACUCAGUGAAAUUGAACUCGCUGUGAAGAUGCAGUGUACCCGCGGCAAGACGGAAAGACCCCGUGAACCUUUACUAUAGCUUGACACUGAACACUGGUCCUUGAUGUGUAGGAUAGGUGGGAGGCUUUGAAGUGUGGACGCCAGUCUGCAUGGAGCCAUCCUUGAAAUACCACCCUUUAAUGGCUGGUGUUCUAACGUGGGCCCCUGAUCGGGGUUGCGGACAGUGUCUGGUGGGUAGUUUGACUGGGGCGGUCUCCUCCUAAAGAGUAACGGAGGAGCACGAAGGUCAGCUAAUCCUGGUCGGACAUCAGGAGGUUAGUGCAAUGGCAUAAGCUGGCUUGACUGCGAGCGUGACGGCGCGAGCAGGUGCGAAAGCAGGUCAUAGUGAUCCGGUGGUUCUGAAUGGAAGGGCCAUCGCUCAACGGAUAAAAGGUACUCCGGGGAUAACAGGCUGAUACCGCCCAAGAGUUCAUAUCGACGGCGGUGUUUGGCACCUCGAUGUCGGCUCAUCACAUCCUGGGGCUGAAGUAGGUCCCAAGGGUAUGGCUGUUCGCCAUUUAAAGUGGUACGCGAGCUGGGUUUAGAACGUCGUGAGACAGUUCGGUCCCUAUCUGCCGUGGGCGCUGGAGAAUUGAGGGGGGCUGCUCCUAGUACGAGAGGACCGGAGUGGACGCAUCACUGGUGUUCGGGUUGUCAUGCCAAUGGCAUUGCCCGGUAGCUAAAUGCGGAAGAGAUAAGUGCUGAAAGCAUCUAAGCACGAAACUUGCCCCGAGAUGAGUUCUCCCUGACCCUUUAAGGGUCCUGAAGGAACGUUGAAGACGACGACGUUGAUAGGCCGGGUGUGUAAGCGCAGCGAUGCGUUGAGCUAACCGGUACUAAUGAACCGUGAGGCUUAACCUU
rnacentral:rRNA from 1 species